AUAUAUUAAUUUUAUGGAUUUUUAGGAUUUUAUUUGAAUGACGAAAAUCCGAGCAAUAUGGCGUACGCCAAUUAUUCGGGUAAUCGAGAGAUAGUGAAGCGGAAGCUUACUAUUCUCCUUUUCAUUCAAAAUUAAUUUAAAUAAUGAAACUUUUGGGAUUUAAUUAACUUGAGGAAGUAGUUUUAAUUUUAUAGAGUUUGUUAGGGUUUUAAAUGAAUGACGAAAAUCCGAGCAAUAUGGCGUACGCCAAUUGUUCGAAUAGUCGAGAGAUAGUGAAGCGGUGGCUUACUAUUCUCCUUUUCAUUCAAAAUUAAAUUAAGAGAUUCUUAAAAGUUUUUUCUCAUAAUGGUUUCUAAUAUUUAAUCAAUAUAGGAUUAAUCGAUAAAACGACUUAGUCAAAGGUUAUUUAAUUUAAAAGAAAUCAACUAAGUACCUAAAUAAUUUAAUUAAUAGUCAUCCAAAUGAACAAAUAAAUUGAUUUAAUUAUUAUUAGAAUAAUUAACAAGAUUAUCCAAUUAACUCUAUUUUACUUACUUAACCUAAAGAAAUAUUUAGAAGGAUAAACUAACGGUGUUUAUUAGCAAACAGUGUCUGGCCCAAAGGCGAAUGGCCCACUCUUUGCUGCAAAACGCAGGGGGUAAGAACAUAUCCAAGGUGAUGUAGAAAGAAAAACUGGAUUUAAAUCUGGCCUAAUCUUUAUUAACUACUAAAAUAAAUAAUAAAAGUAAAAAAAAUAAAGUCAAAGAGGCCAGCGCCUCAUCUUUCAAGAUGGUCUUUCCAUUUCUCAACAUAGAAACAGACGGAUUCAUAAAUAGAGGCAUUGAAAACCAAACAAAUAAUAAUUUAAAAAAAAUAAUGAUGCAUUAAAAACAUGAAUGCACAGUAACCCAAUGUAACGUUAUCAUUCAAAUGGGACUUGAACAGAUCAUUAUCCCAGCAUUAAAUGUAUCAUUAGUGAAAAGUUAUUAAUAAUUAAUCUUUUCUCUUCACGUGUGCUAAACUCUCCCUAUCUCCCCUUCUAAACUAUGUUCUCUUCUUUUUUCCCUUUCCUUUCUCUUUCUCUGUUCUAAAACCCACUUCAACGUUGAAGCAAACCGUGCAACCAUGGCGGUACCGUCAUGAGACUCGGAAACCACCAUCAAACUCCUAAUCGAACAAACACUCCUAAACCCAGAUUUAAACCAGUAACUUUUGCAAAAACAGUGAAAUCCAAAAAGCCAAAUUCGGAAAACAAACACAAUCAGGAACCUAAGUUUUUUCAGCUCAAAAUCAAAAAACCAUGGCAAGAACAGUUUUAUGCAAUAAUCAUGGGGUUUGCGUUUUAUGAGGCGAUGUGAACAAGAUGGUAAUAUCAAAUCAUGCAAAGGGAAAUAUUAAAUACCAAAUCGGAGCUAGUCCGACGUUUGAACCCCGGCAAGGUGAGGGCUUAGCUCAGUUAUCUUAACGUUCUAGUGAUGAACUUUGAGUAAACUAACGGGAGUAUUCGAGCUUUGGUGAUGGGUGCGAGUGUGAUUUCAGCAGAGUAACGGUGCAGGGAUUCGGUCUUCUUUCAGUGGAUUUCACUCCCUUUUUAUAGAGAGGUGGUACGAGGUUCAUACGUCCUUAUCCUUCAUGAGCUGGCAAAUCUUGGAUAGGAUCAAUCCGUUAGAGGGAAUUUUCCUUAAGAUUUGGUGUGGUCCCAGGAAUGAAGGUGGCGAAAUCUGUUUCUGUUUUGUCCGUAGUGAAAUCUUCAGAAUCAACAUCAUGUGUUGAGUUUCUCAUUUACUGCGGUGAAAGAUCUACAUGUCGUGCACAAAACAUGACUUCAACAUACGUAUCUGUUCUUGGAAACAACGCCUGUAUUUGCUUGACAGGGUUAUGGCAAUUGCAAGGUUAAAACCAACUUACAGGACGCAUAGGUUCAGGAAUAGCUUGAUGUUCAAAGUUUGAAAUCAUUUUGCUUUGAUCAUUCGGCUGCUAUUUGAAUGUGCUGAGAUAUUUGGGCUUUUGAAAAACUCCAGGUUUCAUUCAUCUUCAGUCACAACUUGGCAAGGCACACCUUUCGAAUGACUUCGUGCAUUUUGGCGGACUCUUCCUUCAUAUUCGAUGUAAAAACUCCUUAUCAUGAUCCUGUAAGUCACCACCAAGCCAAUCUAAAUCCAGGUCAAGAAUAUCAUUUGGCGAAUAUUUGUAGCUUACUCGACAACUGUUUUGGAAAUGAUGAGUCUAUGCUCAAAGUGACAGACGGAUUCUUUCUGGCUGGAAAUUUGGAACCGUCGUGUAAAACUUCUUGCCAUUUUUUGGAACGAUGAGUCACAUAUAUAUUUUGCCUUGUAGCCCCUGUAUUGUUUCAAAUAUGUAUAAAUGAACUAUAGUUUGGAAUGGUUGAUGCAGGUCUGGCUGUUGUAAGGAUUGAAGUCAUGGUGAUGGUGAAUUCAUGAUGCUUGGCAUGACUUUGUUGUUGUAGUGAUUCCGGGCUGGUGUAGAGCAGCAGCAUUUUGUCCUGUUCGGCCUUAGGUUUGUUCGGUAAUGCGGGACAUUGGCCACACGGUCUCAUGGUUUCCGGUUGGUAUACCACAGCCACCUCUUGUUCGUAGCCUUGGCUUGCAGCACUAGCUACCAAUGCUUGUGAAGUGCUAAGUCACGAUUUCAUUAUGCCAUUGAUACUCAGUUUGGUGCGGUUUCUUGAAGGAACAUUGACACUGCAGGGGUGAUGCAUACUUUAUCAUGUUGGUUCACAAAGCAAGCGUAGCAAUUCGCAUUUUGUAAUGACCUUGGACUUUGGCUUGUCUUGUAUGUAGAAUCUAAGACUUCACAUCCCGGUUGCAAUCGGGUAUUGUUGAUUUUACCGACUUAGCCUAUGUCAUGACAGCUUUGGUACGGAUGUGAUACUCGGCUGGUGAAUGUAUCUCGGUUAAUGCAUACAACAUGAAAGAAUUCCCAGGGUGGUUUCAUCUAUCAUGGACCUAUCUACUGUACCUUUUUCUUCAACUUGUUAUUUCUGGCAUUGUUGGUAUUGCAGGUCCAUUGUUAUUGAGACAAACUGACUUAUGGCGACAUGAAUAGUUGUGGACCAAGGUUUUUUCUCCACGGCAGACUGAUGUGCACUUUCAACUUUAGAAAUUUACCUCCUACAUUUGGUUUGGUUGUAAUGUCAUUUAGCAACUAGCACUGCUUAUGCUUGGUUAUAUAAUGUAUUCCUUUUGACAUUUGAAGCAAGUGUUUGUAAAACCCAGAAUUUUGUCCAACUAAUGUGUU